rnacentral:lncRNA from 1 species
UGUUCUUGUUGUUGUAAAAAGAAGUGAAAUUAAAGAUAUAUAUAAUGGGGGAGAAAAUAGGAGUUUUCGUCUCAAGGGUGUUGAUGUUUUGUUUGGUGUUGGGGUUCUCGUUAGUCUCUCACAUCAAUUUCUUCCCACACUCGUCUCGAUUAGGUUUCAGUUGGGAAAAUAUGAGAUUUGCUUGACACUAUUGAAUAAGUGUCCCCUCCAGUCCAGGCCAAUUAUCCCUUCAAAAGUCCAUUUUGCUACCAUUUCCCACAUUCCAUACAAUACCCCGUUUCACUUCCAAAUUCUACAAAUCCCCUUCCAUAAUUUUGAACAGUUAUUGCUUCUAAACGUUGAUGGAAUAUUACCUUCCCACAUGUAUUUCGCUUUUAAUACAUUCGCCCAAAGUUGGUCCCCCUUGAGAAUAAGAUAGGAAACCAAUUUAAUAAGAAAUGCUCCAUUUUGGUAGUCCAUCCGUUUGAAACCUAGCCCUCCUUGUGAU